AUUAAGUGAUGAAUCAUAUAGCUUAUGAAUCACAACUCAAUAAAGUUUCUUUUUUAAGCCCACUUUUUCUCACUCUUCUAGAAUUAUCUCUUUGACCAAGCUUCUAGUUUUUCAGAUAUUCAUGCUGAAUACUCUCUUUUUUAAUGCCAAUUCAUUCUAGCAUUUAACCACUCUUUAUACAUUACUUAUUAAUCGAAAGAGUAGUGUUAAAAUAUACCACGUGUCUAUUAACCUCUGAGAUAACCAGUCAUAAAGAUAAACAUGGGAUUUUGGAAGAGAACCAAACCAUUAAAUCAUUUUAGACAUUGGCCUAAGAUUUUUAAAAGUGCCUACUAAGAAUGACUGGGCAUUUUGGGGCUUUGUUCUCCUGACUUACCUAAAAUUCAAUCUUCAGUUCAACCAGGAAGCCUGAGCAAGUAUUACUUGUAGAGACCCCUUCUAGGGAGACAAGAUGAGCUCAGGGAGUGGGCAAAGCAUCUUUGCUGCCCCUCAUCACCCAGCUGAGGGUCCUGCUGGAAAGAAGUCACUGAAACUCACUUGGAAUUUAUUCAGAUCAGUGUUUAUCGACUUCAGCAUGCUUGCUACUUGGGGCCAAAUGAUUCCUUGUUGGGAAAAUAGGUAAGUGUAGGAUUUGGACUGGAAACUUCUAAGACCCAUUCUAUGACUCUGUGACCAUGUCCAGAUCACCUUGCUAAAGAUACCUCCUGCUAUUGCCAGACAUGACCCCUGUCUUCAUCCCAAGCCUCAGCAUCAUGCAAAACCUCACCCUCGGACCUCCCACAAGCCCCUCCAACAGCCCGGCCUCCCUUCUUCCGGCAGCCCUCUCAGGAGCCAAACACAGGAGGAAAACGGAGCCUGUAAGAACCAUGUCUGUCCAGGAAAAACCAGGGCAGUCCAUCCAAAAGAAAGAAGACCACCCACCUGAGACAGGAUGCCCACUUUCUUGCAGUUGGUCCCUCCAAUGAAGACCAUGUUGGGCAUGACAGGUCGGGGAAACUCAAAGACAAAGUCGUAUCUCAUCAGCCAAAUGUCAGCCUUGCGAUAUAAGGCGGGUAGGUCCACCUCUAUCUUGAGGAUAUCACGUGCGAGGUCUUCGUACUUAGUAUACAGCAGGUCAAGGAGGAUAUUCUCCAAGAUCCUAGUAAGGAAGUUGGCCACCCGUUGGGGGAAAGUCAUCCGGUCGGAGAACGCAGUGUAGUACCUGGGGACGUAGGACGUGGGGCUUGGGGUCCUGGUGAACGUGUUCUCCAGGGAGCACGGGAAGCCCCUGAAGAGGUACACGGACGGCAGGCCCAGGUACUCGGCCAGGAUCACCCCGCAGGGUAAGGCCGGGUCUGUGAACAGGGCAUCGAACUUGGCCUCCCGGAGGAAGCUCAGGGUGGCGGCGUCCCUCAGGA